rnacentral:rRNA from 1 species
GAGCGGACAGAAGGGAGCUUGCUCCCGGAUGUUAGCGGCGGACGGGUGAGUAACACGUGGGUAACCUGCCUGUAAGACUGGGAUAACUCCGGGAAACCGGAGCUAAUACCGGAUAGUUCCUUGAACCGCAUGGUUCAAGGAUGAAAGACGGUUUCGGCUGUCACUUACAGAUGGACCCGCGGCGCAUUAGCUAGUUGGUGGGGUAAUGGCUCACCAAGGCGACGAUGCGUAGCCGACCUGAGAGGGUGAUCGGCCACACUGGGACUGAGACACGGCCCAGACUCCUACGGGAGGCAGCAGUAGGGAAUCUUCCGCAAUGGACGAAAGUCUGACGGAGCAACGCCGCGUGAGUGAUGAAGGUUUUCGGAUCGUAAAGCUCUGUUGUUAGGGAAGAACAAGUGCGAGAGUAACUGCUCGCACCUUGACGGUACCUAACCAGAAAGCCACGGCUAACUACGUGCCAGCAGCCGCGGUAAUACGUAGGUGGCAAGCGUUGUCCGGAAUUAUUGGGCGUAAAGGGCUCGCAGGCGGUUUCUUAAGUCUGAUGUGAAAGCCCCCGGCUCAACCGGGGAGGGUCAUUGGAAACUGGGAAACUUGAGUGCAGAAGAGGAGAGUGGAAUUCCACGUGUAGCGGUGAAAUGCGUAGAGAUGUGGAGGAACACCAGUGGCGAAGGCGACUCUCUGGUCUGUAACUGACGCUUAGGAGCGAAAGCGUGGGGAGCGAACAGGAUUAGAUACCCUGGGUAGUCCACGCCGUAAACGAUGAGUGCUA